UACGUAGGGGGCGAGCGUUGUCCGGAUUUAUUGGGCGUAAAGAGCGUGUAGGCGGCUUGGUAGGUCUCGCGUCAAAACCUGCGGCUCAACCGCAGUUCGCGUGGGAAACCACCUAGCUAGAGUCCGGAAGAGGAGAACGGAAUUCCCAGUGUAGCGGUGAAAUGCGCAGAUAUCGGGAAGAACACCCGUGGCGAAGGCGGCUCUCUGGGACGGUACUGACGCUGAGACGCGAAAGCGUGGGGAGCGAACAGG
rnacentral:rRNA from 1 species